rnacentral:ncRNA from 1 species
AUAACUGGCUUGUGGUAGCCAAGCGUUCAUAGCGACGUUGCUUUUUGAUCCUUCGAUGGCGGCUCUUCCUAUCAAGCGUUCUAGAAAAAUUUUGUUUACGCGUUUAAUACAGUGU